UGGGGAAUAUUGCGCAAUGGGCGAAAGCCUGACGCAGCGACGCCGCGUGAGGGAUGAAGGUCUUCGGAUUGUAAACCUCUUUCAGCAGGGACGAAGCGAAAGUGACGGUACCUGAAGAAGAAGCACCGGCUAACUACGUGCCAGCAGCCGCGGUAAUACGUAGGGUGCAAGCGUUGUCCGGAUUUAUUGGGCGUAAAGAGCUCGUAGGCGGUUAGACACGUCGGAUGUGAAAACUGGGGGCUCAACUCCCAGCCUGCAUUCGAUACGGUCUGACUAGAGUGUGGUAGGGGUAACUGGAAUUCCUGGUGUAGCGGUGAAAUGCGCAGAUAUCAGGAGGAACACCGAUGGCGAAGGCAGGUUACUGGGCCACCACUGACGCUGAGGA
rnacentral:rRNA from 1 species